rnacentral:tRNA from 4 species
GGGGGUAUAGCUCAGGGGUAGAGCAUCUGCUUUGCACGCAGAGGGUCAAGGGUUCGAUUCCCUUUGCCUCCACCA